rnacentral:lncRNA from 1 species
GCAGAGCAGGAGGUCUGGUGGGCAGAAGUUUAGAGGAUGGCAUGUUGGUGGAGAGCUGGGGAAAGCAAUCUUACACCCAGUGAACCAAAGUAUAGACACGCAAUCAGGAUGCACAAUGCGGCACUUCAGGCAGGACCUUGAUGAGAAAUGGUACAAACUAGACAGAGUGAAGAAUUCCCCGAGUACAUCUGCAGUGCCAGGCAUCAGAGCAUGAGAACCCAGAACGGUGGAGAACAUCAAUUCUCUCUUUGUGAUCCCGGGGCUGCCCAGGAGCUCUGAUUUGCUGCAGCUGUCCACUGCCCAUCAUCACAAAUGCCACAUGCCUGAGACAAGAGCCACAUCGAAAAUGUGAAGUUUGACUUCUAUUGAAUGCAUUUCCCUUUCUCAACACCAUAAAGAAAAAC